AUUGAUGAAUCAAAUAUAUACAAAUAGCAGAUAUAGAACUUCAAUUGGUUUCACAUGUUGCACAGUACCAUUGGAUCUGACAAUUAGAGAUCUACAACAUAAUCUGGAUAAUCUUUUUGAGAAGACACGUAAGAAUACGCAAGAGCCGGAACUUUGUUGCUUUUAAGAACAAAAGACCCGACUUGGAUUCACCCAUGGAGGAAACAGUAUUAUUGAUUCAAUCUAACGCAUCUCUGGUAAGAUUUCCACGAACUCAGAAAUUCGAUUUCAUCCUCCCGUUCACCCCACAUCCUUCAAUGAAACCACAGAGUAAGUUACUUCGGACUGAAACCGAACAGAACCAGAGAGAAAGACAUAAUCAAUACCUGUAGAUCUUCCAACCAUG
rnacentral:lncRNA from 1 species